rnacentral:rRNA from 1 species
UUUCGCCUGUUUAUCAAAAACAUGUCUUAUAGAAAUUAAUUUUAAGUCUGACCUGCUCAAUGAAAUUUUUAAAUUGCUAUAGUAUUUUAACUAUACAAAGGUAGCAUAAUCAUUUGUCUUUUAAUUGAAGGCUUGAAUGAAUGGUUGGACGAAAAAUAGACUUUCUUGAUUUAAUUAAUAUUGAAUUUAAAAUUUCUGUAAAAAUACUUAAAUGUAGUUGUGGGACGAGAAGACCCUAUAGAAUUUUAAUAAAUAUUUAAGAAUACUAUCUUAGAAUUUAAAAUAGUAUUCUUAAAUAUUUAUUUUUGUUGGGGUGAUAGUGGAAAAUUUUUAACUUCCAUUUAUUAAAAAUCAUAAAUUAGUGUUGUAUUUGAUCCAAUAUUAUUGAUUAAAAGUUCAAAUUACCUUAGGGAUAACAGCGUUAUUAUAUUGGAGAGUUCAUAUUGAUGAUAUAGUUUGCGACCUCGAUGUUGGAUUAAAGUUAAUUUUAGGUGCAGAAGCUUAU